UACGAAGGGGGCUAGCGUUGUUCGGAAUUACUGGGCGUAAAGCGCGCGCAGGCGGCUAUCCAAGUCAGUGGUGAAAGCCCGGAGCUUAACUCCGGAACUGCCAUUGAAACUGUUUAGCUUGAGGACGAGAGAGGUGAGUGGAAUUCCCAGUGUAGAGGUGAAAUUCGUAGAUAUUGGGAAGAACACCGGUGGCGAAGGCGGGUCUCUGGGCCGAUAUUGACGCUGAGGAGCGAAAGCGUGGGGAGCGAACAGG
rnacentral:rRNA from 1 species